rnacentral:miRNA from 1 species
UGUCACACUUGCAAUGAGAGC